rnacentral:rRNA from 1 species
GGGGAAUUUUGGACAAUGGGGGAAACCCUGAUCCAGCCAUCCCGCGUGUGCGAUGAAGGCCUUCGGGUUGUAAAGCACUUUUGGCAGCAAAGAAACGUCGCGGGUUAAUACCCUGCGACACUGACGGUACCUGCAGAAUAAGCACCGGCUACCUACGUGCCAGCAGCCGCGGUAAUACGUAGGGUGCAAGCGUUAAUCGGAAUUACUGGGCGUAAAGCGUGCGCAGGCGGUUCGGAAAGACAGGCGUGAAAUCCCCGGGCUCAACCUGGGAACUGCGCUUGUGACUGCAAGACUAGAGUACGGCAGAGGGGGGUGGAAUUCCACGUGUAGCAGUGAAAUGCGUAGAGAUGUGGAGGAACACCAAUGGCGAAGGCAGCCCCCUGGGUCGAUACUGACGCUCAUGCACGAAAGCGUGGGGAGCAAACA